rnacentral:rRNA from 1 species
AGAGUUUGAUCCUGGCUCAGGACGAACGCUGGCGGCGUGCUUAACACAUGCAAGUUGUACGGUAUGUCAUGGAAGCUUGCUGAAGUGACAUAUAGUAGCGAACGGGUGAGUAAUGCAUGAGAAUUUAUCCUUAGGAGGGGGACAACAGCUGGAAACGGCUGCUAAUACCCCGUAUGCCGGAAGGUGAAAGGUGCGAGAGUGCCGCCUGGGGUUGAGCUCAUGUCCUAUCAGCUAGUUGGUGGGGUAACGGCCUACCAAGGCGACGACGGGUAGCCGGCCUGAGAGGGUGAACGGCCACACUGGAACUGAGACACGGUCCAGACUCCUACGGGAGGCAGCAGUGGGGAAUUUUGGGCAAUGGGGGAAACCCUGACCCAGCGACGCCGCGUGAGGGAAGACAGCCUUCGGGUUUUAAACCUCUUUUGUACGGGAAGAUAAUGACGGUACUGUAUGAAUAAGUCCCGGCUAACUACGUGCCAGCAGCCGCGGUAAUACGUAGGGGACGAGCGUUGUCCGGAAUUACUGGGUGUAAAGGGCGCGCAGGCGGUUCUGAAAGUCAGAUGUGAAAGAUCAAGGCUUAACUUUGACAGGUCAUCUGAAACUUUGGGACUUGAGUAUCAGAGGGGAAAGUGGAAUUCCUGGUGGAGCGGUAAAAUGCGCAGAGAUCAGGAGGAACACCGGUGGCGAAGGCGACUUUCUGGCUGACAACUGACGCUGAGGCGCGAAAGCGUGGGGAGCAAACAGGAUUAGAUACCCUGGUAGUCCACACUGUAAACGAUGAUAACUCGCUGUCGGCGAUACACAGUCGGUGGCCAAGCGAAAGCAUUAAGUUAUCCACCUGGGGAGUACGACCGCAAGGUUGAAACUCAAAGGAAUAGACGGGGGCCCGCACAAGCGGAGGAACACGUGGUUUAAUUCGAUGAUACGCGAGGAACCUUACCCGGGCUCGAACGGUGCAUGAAUAUACGAGAGAUUGUAUAGUCCUUCGGGACAUGUAUCGAGGUGCUGCAUGGUUGUCGUCAGUUCGUGCCGUGAGGUGUCGGCUUAAGUGCCAUAACGAGCGCAACCCUCGUCAUUAGUUGCCAUCAGGUCAAGCUGGGGACUUUAAUGAGACUGCCACCGUAAGGUGUGAGGAAGGGGGGGAGGACGUCAAAUCAGCACGGCCCUUAUGUCCGGGGCGACACACGUGUUACAAUGGGAGGUACAGGGGGCAGCUAUCCGGUGACGGAAUGCUAAUCUCCAAAACCUUUCUCAGUUCGGAUUGGAGUGUGCAACUCGACUCCACGAAGGUGGAUUCGCUAGUAAUCGCGCAUCAGCCAUGGCGCGGUGAAAAAGUUCCCGGGCCUUGCACACACCGCC